rnacentral:rRNA from 1 species
CCUACGGGAGGCAGCAGUGGGGAAUAUUGGACAAUGGGGGGAACCCUGAUCCAGCGACGCCGCGUGAGUGAAGAAGUAUUUCGGUAUGUAAAGCUCUAUCAGCAGGGAAGAAAGAAAUGACGGUACCUGACUAAGAAGCCCCGGCUAACUACGUGCCAGCAGCCGCGGUAAUACGUAGGGGGCAAGCGUUAUCCGGAUUUACUGGGUGUAAAGGGAGCGUAGACGGCGAUGCAAGUCUGAAGUGAAAGGCGGGGGCCCAACCCCCGGACUGCUUUGGAAACUGUAUGGCUGGAGUGCAGGAGAGGUAAGUGGAAUUCCUAGUGUAGCGGUGAAAUGCGUAGAUAUUAGGAGGAACACCAGUGGCGAAGGCGGCUUACUGGACUGUGACUGACAUUGAUGCUCGAAAGUGUGGGUAUCAAACAGGAUUAGAUACCCCAGUAGUC